ACCAAGAGGCAGGAGAGGCGACCAGCUGGCAGCUGUUAGGUCCACACACGUCAACCACCCCCUCUUGAAGGAUGAGAACAGUCUUCUUACAUCUGGGACAGGAGCUGCCAUCACAGCUCAUAUAACCCUGUCAGGGGGCUACAUCUGGAAGAAGAUCUAUCUAUCUAUCUAUCUAUCUAUCUAUCUAUCUAUCUAUCUAUCUAUCAUCUAUCUAUCUAUCAUCUAUCUGCAGGGGUUUUCUUCUAGAGACAGCUCAACGCUGUCAGGCAAAAACUGAAGGGAAGCACACAAGUGUUCAAGGGACUCAACCAAGCAUGUUUCUGGAUCACAUCCAUUUUUGUUAUCAGGCGGUGAAGCUUAAGAAACUUCUGUUCCACCACAAGACCUGAUCAUAAACACUGCAUGUUGGAAACUUGAUUCAGGCACAUAUAUAUAUUUAUUCUUCUACUUCUCCAGCCUUAAUAUGAUACUUAAUCUGAAGACAUGAAUCAUUUUAAAUAGAUUUGUUUGAACAUCAUUUGCCUCCAUAUGCUAAUAACAUUCCAGAAUAUGUUGGAACAAAUUAAGCAUUUGUGAAGAAUCUUCAUGUGUGUAACUCCUGGCAACCUUUGGCAACAAAAUGAUUCAACAGAAAAGCUGCUCUCAGCUUGAAGUAGGCUCUCUGUGAAUUAAUGUCACCUCUAAGCUAUGCUGAUCGUCAGAUAGAAGCCAACUGUGAAGGCCUGGAGAGUCACCAUUAAAACAUUAGUCAUCCUGUUCGUACCCAACUGCUAGGCUGAAGCACAGGCAACACAGAUCACCAUGGUAGGAGGAGCACCUACCUCAAAUUAUACGAUGCAGUGAUUGAUUACUGGAAAGCAGGAGUAGAGUUAAACCUCCACCCCGCAGCUGUCUGAAAGGAUAAAUCUUUUUGAUUCAAGGAAUUUGUGUACUCUAAAGAAUAUCCAUAUGAGAACCUGGAUGAAGAAGAGGAGCAUCCAGAGUAUUCCAAACAGAUAUAUGACAGAGGCAAAAACCUGAAAGAAAUAGAUGUGCUUGGUAUUUGCAAGGAACAGUUAAAAAUGUGUUCCAAGUGAGCCUGUGGAGACCCAAAACAGCUUUAUUAUGAAGUUUUGGAAAGUACUUCAAUGCUCAAAUCUUAGUAUAAAUCAUCUUCUGGAAAUAAUUUUAUAAUGGAUAUAACUUGAAACAAAUUCAGUUACAAGAGCUGGCCUGGUGGCUAGGUCUCUGGAGAGACUGGUCUAGCCCUGGAGCAGGCCUGGUGCUGGGGUCCAGGCUGAAGUCGGGCACCUACCUUACUUCCCUGUGGUGGUGGAAGGUGUCUCUUUGCCCUGGGCUGCCUGGACAUGGGUGAAGGGUGAUCCGAUAAUUUGACCGAGGAUUUAUGGCUGGCAAUCCGUAUCUCGAAGUGUUUAUGUCUAGAAUCCCAGCUGAGGUGGCCUCAUGUCUCCACAAGGUCUUCUCCUAAUAAUGGCAGCCACACAUGACAACAGAUCCUGACACUAUGGUAUAUUUUGAGCCUUUGUCCCUUUCUUGUCUGCUAACAUUUCAUUGGCUAAUCAAAAUGAAAGGACAGGGAAGCAUAGCUCUCCUAUUUCUAUCAAUUCUAAGACUGGCUUUUUAAUCUGGAGAUCAAAAAAAUUUAUCUGUCCUAUGGGCUAUCACACAUUCUCAACAUAAAAUGGUAAAACAUGCCAGGAUAAGAGAAAAAUGGGAAAAUUAGAAAAGCAGGCAAUACAAAGAAGAGAAUGAUCUGUGGCAAUCCUGAAGCUUCAUUGGGCAUACAUUGCUGGU